GCUACGGGUGGCAGCAGUGGGGAAUAUUGCACAAUGGGGGAAACCCUGAUGCAGCGACGCCGCGUGAGUGAAGAAGUAUCUCGGUACGUAAAGCUCUAUCAGCAGGGAAGAAAAUGACGGUACCUGACUAAGAAGCCCCGGCUAACUACGUGCCAGCAGCCGCGGUAAGACGUAGGGGGCAAGCGUUAUCCGGAUUUACUGGGUGUAAAGGGAGCGUAGACGGCAGCACAAGUCUGGAGUGAAAUCCCGGGGCUUAACCCCGGGACUGCUUUGGAAACUGCCUGACUGGAGUGCUGGAGAGGCAAGCGGAAUUCCUAGUGUAGCGGUGAAAUGCGUAGAUAUUAGGAAGAACACCAGUGGCGAAGGCGGCUUGCUGGACAGUAACUGACGUUGAGGCUCGAAAGCGUGGGGAGCAAACAGGAUUAGAUACCCUUGUAGUC
rnacentral:rRNA from 1 species